AACAAAUUCAUAUCUGAAACGAGCGGAGGC
rnacentral:piRNA from 1 species